GACGAACCGUGCGAACGUUGUUCGGAAUCACUGGGCUUAAAGGGCGCGUAGGCGGCUUCGCAAGUCCGGGGUGAAAGCCCCCAGCUCAACUGGGGAAGUGCCUUGGAAACUGCGGAGCUCGAGCGAGGUAGGGGUCGUGGGAACUUCCGGUGGAGCGGUGAAAUGCGUUGAUAUCGGAAGGAACGCCGGUGGCGAAAGCGCACGACUGGACCUCACCUGACGCUGAGGCGCGAAAGCCAGGGGAGCAAACGGG
rnacentral:rRNA from 1 species